GUGUCAGCAGCCGCGGUAAUACAGAGGGUGCAAGCGUUGUUCGGAAUUAUUGGGCGUAAAGAGCGCGUAGGCGGUUUGGUAAGUCAAAUGUGAAAUCCCAGGGCUUAACCUUGGACGUGCAUUCGAAACUGCUUAACUUGAAUCUCGGAGAGGGUGGUGGAAUUCCCAGUGUAGAGGUGAAAUUCGUAGAUAUUGGGAGGAACACCGGUGGCGAAGGCGACCACCUGGACGAUGAUUGACGCUGAGGCGCGAGAGUGUGGGGAUCAAACAGGAUUAGAAACCCUGGUAGUCC
rnacentral:rRNA from 1 species